rnacentral:rRNA from 1 species
GAUGAACGCUGGCGGCGUGCCUAAUACAUGCAAGUCGAGCGAACAGACGAGGAGCUUGCUCCUCUGACGUUAGCGGCGGACGGGUGAGUAACACGUGGAUAACCUACCUAUAAGACUGGGAUAACUUCGGGAAACCGGAGCUAAUACCGGAUAAUAUAUUGAACCGCAUGGUUCAAUAGUGAAAGACGGUUUUGCUGUCACUUAUAGAUGGAUCCGCGCCGCAUUAGCUAGUUGGUAAGGUAACGGCUUACCAAGGCAACGAUGCGUAGCCGACCUGAGAGCGUGCUCGUCCACACUGGAACUGAGACACGGUCCAGACUCCUACGGGAGGCAGCAGUAGGGAAUCGUCCCCAAUGGGCGAAAGCUUGACGGAGCAACGCCGCGUGAGUGAUGAAGGUCUUCGGAUCGUAAAACUCUGUUAUUAGUGAAGAACAAAUGUGUAAGUAACUAUGCACGUCUUGACGGUACCUAAUCAGAAAGCCACGGCUAACUACGUG